GAUGAACGCUGGCGGCGUGCCUAAUACAUGCAAGUCGAGCGAACAGACGAGGAGCUUGCUCCUCUGACGUUAGCGGCGGACGGGUGAGUAACACGUGGAUAACCUACCUAUAAGACUGGGAUAACUUCGGGAAACCGGAGCUAAUACCGGAUAAUAUAUUGAACCGCAUGGUUCAAGAGUGAAAGACGGUUUUGCUGUCACUUAUAGAUGGAUCCGCGCCGCAUUAGCUAGUUGGUAAGGUAACGGCUUACCAAGGCAACGAUGCGUAGCCGACCUGAGAGGGUGAUCGGCCACACUGGAACUGAGACACGGUCCAGACUCCUACGGGAGGCAGCAGUAGGGAAUCUUCCGCAAUGGGCGAAAGCUUGACGGAGCAACGCCGCGUGAGUGAUGAAGGUCUUCGGAUCGUAAAACUCUGUUAUUAGGGAAGAAAAAAUGUGUAAGUAACUAUGCACGUCUUGACGGUACCUAAUCAGAAAGCCACGGCUAACUACGUG
rnacentral:rRNA from 1 species